rnacentral:rRNA from 1 species
AAAUGAAUAGACGGGGGCCCGCACAAGCGGUGGAGCAUGUGGUUUAAUUCGAUGCAACGCGAAGAACCUUACCGGGGUUUGAAAUUAUCGAGAAAGCUAUGGAAACAUAGUGUGCCGGAGGAGACUCUGGCGGCGAUAACAGGUGGUGCAUGGUUGUCGUCAGCUCGUGUCGUGAGAUGUUGGGUUAAGUCCCGCAACGAGCGCAACCCUUACCUUUAGUUGCCAGCGGGUAGAGCCGGGCACUCUAGAGGGACUGCCGGGGACGACCCGGAGGAAGGUGGGGAUGACGUCAAAUCAUCAUGCCCCUUAUGUCCCGGGCUACACACGUGCUACAAUGGCCCGUACAGAGGGCAGCGAACCAGCGAUGGGGAGCGAAUCCCACAAAACGGGUCUCAGUUCGGAUUGCAGGCUGCAACUCGCCUGCAUGAAGUCGGAAUCGCUAGUAAUCGCAGGUCAGCAUACUGCGGUGAAUACGUUCCCGGGCCUUGUACACACCGCCCGU